rnacentral:rRNA from 1 species
UCUUAUAUAUACAAGAAAAAAAAGUUUUGUUUGGUAUACUGUGUGCUAAGUAUUCUUUUCCUAUCAAUGAACUUUUCAUAAUUUUCAUAAUAGAAUAUGAGGAUUCUAUUAUGAAAAUUAUGAAAAGUGGAGUAUUCUUACAAUAGGACUUACAACUUCCACCUAUCUUCUCCAAAAUCAUAAGGUUAGUAAAUCUUAUUAAUAAGAGCAUAAAGACUUUCAUUCUAGAAAUUUUUAAAAAAU